rnacentral:sRNA from 1 species
ACAUGUGAUGAAAUUGAUCAGCAGUAAUGGCGUCCCGGGUGUUGAACCCAAACAGAUUCACAAUGUCCGAGGGAAGGAGGCACUUUAAAAUUAUAAUGAACCGGGCUAAUAUAGUGAUGUCAGGACAAAAGGUUGGGAUUUACAUUUAGCAUACUCGGCUCUAGUAUGCAAUAUUGGGCAAUCAACUAAUGUUUCAUUGAGACAUACUACCGGUACUGUAUAACUGUAAUAUAAGAUAUUUGACAUGCAGUGAAUAGAAAUCUGGAUCCGGUUUGUUUGGGCUAAAAGAUAUACUUUAUAACUACCGUUACCUUCGUGAGAACAUCCAAGUUUCGGCGAUGUAUGUGAUUUCGUUUGUGGGUUUUAAUUAUUCUGUUAUCCACAGGUUUAUGUUGGUGGUCCGAAUGCUCAGGUUCGAAUCCUGUUUUGUCCCAGUGGUCGUUGAGGCGAUGUGUUAUCUGCAUGCUGCCCAAUUCUAGAUUCUGGAAAAGGUGUUCUAGUGCUUCAAAUGAGAUGGCAGACUCGUUGCCAUAUUUUUUAAACAGUUGUCUGACGAACAGUUCCUCCACUUCUGAUGCGUUGAGGUCACUUGAUCUGGCACAGUGGCUUGGUUCAACAACAAGAAGCACGAGAAGGAUUUGUAAUUGAAGAUCUGAAAUAAAUAGGAUAUAUAUAUGUUCC